AGAUGUGAAGGUCAUCUGGCUGUGACAUCUGACACCCCAUUGAUAGCCAUGGUUGAUUCGGCUAAUCUGGCUAGCUAGGCAGGUGUUCCCUUCCUGCCUCACCAUUCCAUGUGUGUCCCUCCUGAAACUGUGUGCUCAGUCAAAGAGGACGGCCUUCCCCGGAUAGAGAUAGAAUAUGGUUCUGCAAAG
rnacentral:snRNA from 1 species